UGCAUCACGUGUAACCUUCCU
rnacentral:miRNA from 1 species